rnacentral:misc_RNA from 1 species
GGACUACAGGGGUUUCUAAUCCUGUUUGAUCCCCACGCCUUCGUGCCUGAGCGUCAGUUAUGGCCUAGUAAGCUGCCUGCGCAAUCGGAGUUCCUCGUGAUAUCUAUGCAUUUCACCGCUACACCACAAAUUCCGCCUACUUCAUCCACACUCAAGAAAACCAGUAUCGAUGGCACUUUUACAGUUGAGCUGCAAAAUUUCACCGCCGACUUAAUCUUCCGCCUGCGCACCCUUUAAACCCAAUAAAUCCGGAUAACGCUUGGAUCCUCCGUAUUACCGCGGCUGCUGGCAC